CCAGCUCCAAUAGCGUAUAUUAAAGUUGUUGCGGUUAAAAAGCUCGUAGUUGGAUUUCUGCCGAGGAUGACCGGUCCGCCCUCUGGGUGAGUAUCUGGCUCAGCCUUGGCAUCUUCCUGAAGAACGUAUCUGCACUUGACUGUGUGGUGCGGUAUUUAGGACAUUUACUUUGAGGAAAUUAGAGUGUUUCAAGCAAGCGCGCGCCUUGAAUACAUUAGCAUGGAAUAAUAAGAUAGGACCUCGGUUCUAUUUUGUUGGUUUCUAGAGCUGAGGUAAUGAUUGAUAGGGAUAGUUGGGGGCAUUCGUAUUUAACUGUCAGAGGUGAAAUUCUUGGAUUUGUUAAUGACGGACUACUGCGAAAGCAUUUGCCAAGGAUGUUUUCAUUGAUCAAGAACGAAAGUUAGGGGAUCGAAGACGAUCAGAUACCGUCCUAGUCUUAACCAUAAACUAUGCCGACUAGAGAUUGGAGGUCGUUAUUCUUACGACUCCUUCAGCACCUUAUGAGAAAUCAAAGUCUUUGGGUUCCGGGGGGAGUAUGGUCGCAAGG
rnacentral:rRNA from 1 species